GAUUUUUAUCAUUAAAAAACACUUACCCCCGUCCACUCCCCGCGUCCAGAGAAUUCAGAAACACAAUUCCCUUUUACCCCAAAUUCUCCAUUUCAGCACCAACCCACGUCAUUCUCCGCUGCCGUCGCCGCUCCGUCACGGUUGCAUCGCCGGCGCUCCUCAACACAUACUCUCUCUCAACCAUAAAUCCUACUCCGACGCCUUACCCAAACCAAGGGUUUUCAGCGAGGGAUAACAGGCAGGAGCACGUAAUUUGAAAACCCUUACUGGCGCUGGUUCCGAAGUUCCCUUCGCCAUUGUCGCUGGUUCUACUUGUCGUCGCUGCUAGCUCGUGCUUAUCCAAUGGCCUGGUGAGGGAACAAAUUAACACGGGAUAUUAUAAUAUAUACAAGCUGAAACCAAGGUCUAUAUAUAAUACAAGCAGGGCUGUUAAGGUGUGGAAAGAGCUGCAGAUUAAGGUGGAUAAAUUAUCUGAGGCCUGAUAUCAAGAAAGGGAAUUUCACCAUUGAAGAAGAAGAAACCAUCAUCAAGCUUCAUGAAAUGCUUGGCAACAGGAAAAUCCUGUUCCAACACCAAUGGUUUCUUCUACAAAACUGACAGAAUUCAUAACAGAAAGGUUUUGAAGAAGAGAUUGAGCAACAGAUUUCAUUUACACUAUCACAAGUAUUGGUAGAGCUUAAGACUUCCAGAAAAGCUAUUAAAGGAUAUGGUUGGUAGAGACGGAGAUCACGGUCGUAGCCGUGGCCGUGGCGGAGGCCGAAAGGGGAAGCCUAGGCUUUCUACUGGUCAGCCCCUUGACUUGCAUGCGGAUCCAUACUCUCUCGUUGGGUCAUCAUCCGACACGACUGGUUAUAUUGAUCCUUGCUCUGUUUUUCUGUUGAUGGUUGUUAUGUUGUUCUUGCUACUAGUUUGUUGCUCUGUUGCUGACUUGUGUUCUUGAGAUCUUGGCUUCCUUCCGUGGUUGCUGAAUUGCUAGGUUUUAUUUUUAUUUUUAUUUUUUGUUGUAAUGUUAUAAUGUUAUUUUUUGCUAGAAUUAGCUUUUAAGUAUAUAAUUAAUUCAAUUGUUCUUAUUAUAUUCUUUGUUUUACGUAAUAGUGAAUAGAAAAUUAGAAAAUUAAUGUUUGUUCAUAAUUUUGGAGGAAGAGGAAUUAAUAUACUAUAUGUACUGUACCUUUUGUUAUUAACUUAAUGAUUUGACAGACAAGGGUGGU